UUUUUAAUUAUAAGAGAAUUAUUUCAACCGUUGAUUGUUUUGGAUUUAAUCUGUGCCGUUGAUUUGUUUUUAGGUCAGAUCACAUUUCACUUUUGUAGUUCCUCCGUUCAUUUGUUUCGAAGCGCAGCCCUGAGCCUCCGACCCUCACCAACGUCGUCCCUCACCAUACUGUCGAAUUCCGACCAGCCACCGGCCCACCACCACACCAUACUCUCGUCUCUAACUCUCCAGCCUUCCUUCACCACACAACCACCACUCUCUCUCGCGAUCUCUCUCUCUCUAGGGCGAUUGUCUUUCACGGACAGGUCAGGUCACAGAACUGGGGAUCUCUCUCACGGUCUCACCACCACACCGAGUCUGAGUCUCACUCUCACCCCAAAUUAGGUUGUUUUUCUUGAAUCAUUUAUUCUCAAGCAGCUUUUAAAGGUUUAGCAUACAAGCGCUACAAGAUGGACGGAUCUAGUAGCCAAUCUAGUACACAUAUGGUCUCGGUAUUAGGAAAAC